rnacentral:misc_RNA from 1 species
AGCAGCCGCGGUAAUUCCAGCUCCAAUAGCGUAUAUUAAAGUUGUUGCAGUUAAAAGCUCGUAGUUGAAUUUCGGGGUUAGUAGGUUGGUCAUGCCUCUGGUAUGUACUGGUCUCACUGAUUCCUCCUUCCUGAUGAGCCGUAAUGCCAUUAAUUUGGUGUUGCGGGGAAUUUGGACUGUUACUUUGAAAAAUUAAAGUGUUUAAAGCAAGCUAACGCUUGAAUACAUUAGCAUGGAAUAAUGAAAUAGGACGUUCGAUCCUAUUUUGUUGGUUUCUAGGAUUGACGUAAUGAUUAAUAGGGAUAGUUGGGGGCAUUAGUAUUCAAUUGUCAGAGGUGAAAUUCUUGGAUUUAUUGAAAGACUAACUACUGCGAAAGCAUUUGCCAAGGAUGUUUUCAUUAAUCAAGAACGAAAGUUAGGGAUCGAGGACGAUCAGAUACCGUCGUAGUCUUAACCAUAAACUAUGCCGACUAGGGAUCGGAUGAUGUUUAAUUUUUAAUGUACUCAUUCGGCGCCUUAA